CGCACCUGGUGUUUACUAUACAGUUCUACCUGCCGGUCAACUCUACAAAAUGUCUACAAGGAGACAUCCACAAAAAUGUGCUGGUCACAGGCGAGUACGAACUUAGGGAACAGUCAGAAACUACAACUAAUUUGAAGGCAGUGGGAGCGUACCAGGCCACAUGAAGCAUGGCGUGGAAGCAAAGACCUACCAAGAGAUUGAAAAUAUGGAGUAACUGACCCCCCUCGAUGCGCCGCGAAGAUAUCUUGAGCACCUCUCACAGUCCAUUGCAGAGGACUUUGACUACUUGAAGAAACGAGUGAAAGAGAUGCAAGACACAAAUGGUAAAUGGAUGGAGCAAUAUGUUUAGUGUUUACGUAAAUCACCACUUCGGCAGAAAACUGCAUCUGCACUGCCCUCUAUGGGUUUAAAUAUUCUAGCAUAUUCCUCUUUUGGCCGAAUCCCUUCAGUAUGUGUGAUGUCAUAGCAGGUGUUUUGCCUUUAACAACAGAUGGAAGUCACCUGCUGUGUGCGAUGUGGCAAGGAAGAACAAGCUUGAGGUUUUGAACUCAGAGUUGCAGCAAUUUUCUCCUCUGUGUGCUUCAUUGCUAGUUGUGUCUGAAACUAUCAAGUUGACUAAAGUGUUAAAAAGUUUUGACACUAUUUAACUGCUAUGCUAUCCUGAACAGCUUCCACCAAUACACGAGUGCUGCUCUUUGGCAUCAUCUCCACGUGCUGUUUGAGUGCACUGGCCACGUGGCAAGUUUUCUAUUUGAGACGAUUCUUCAAGGCAAAGAAGUUGAUUGACUGAAUACGUUUUUCAAGUACAACCUGAGGGAUACAGCUUGAUCAUCAAGUGGACUUUAAGUUUCUACAAGUCACUACAAUAUGCCUUUUGCUAUUUUUCAAAUGAUGCAUCAUAUUUAAUUAAUUUUAAUUUGUUUUAGUAUUUACUCUUUUUGUGUACUUACAAAACUAAAUGUUAUUUAUGUCUGACUAUAUGUCUUCCUAUGAAUUUACAGUUGCUUUAGUAGAGAACAAAAGGUUUCGGCUACAGAGCUUUCGGUAGAAUUUUGUAAAAGGAAUUUUUAUGAGUUACAAUUCAUUUUCUUGACAAUAAACUACACAUCUGAAAGAA